UAGGGAAUAUUGGACAAUGGACGCAAGUCUGAUCCAGCCAUGCCGCGUGCAGGAUGACAGCCCUCUGGGUUGUAAACUGCUUUUAUAUGAGAAGAAACCCUCAGAUGCGUUUGAGGCUGACGGUAUCAUAUGAAUAAGGAUCGGCUAACUUCGUGCCAGCAGCCGCGGUAAGACGAAGGAUCCAAGCGUUGUCCGGAUUUACUGGGUUUAAAGGAUGCGUAGGCGGACACUUAAGCCAGUGGUGAAAUCCCAUAGCUCAACUAUGGAACUGCCAUUGGAACUGUGUGUCUUGAAUUCGGUUGAGGUAGAUGGAAUAUAACAUGUAGCGGUGAAAUGCUUAGAUAUGUUAUAGAACACCGAUUGCGAAGGCAGUCUACUAAGCCGACAUUGACGCUGAGGCAUGAAAGCGUGGGGAGCGAACAGG
rnacentral:rRNA from 1 species